UACAGAGGUCUCAAGCGUUGUUCGGAUUCAUUGGGCGUAAAGGGCGCGUAGGCGGCCACCGCAAGUCGACUGUGAAAUCUCUGGGCUUAACCCAGAAAGGUCAGCCGAUACUGCGGGGCUAGAGUGCAGAAGGGGCAACUGGAAUUCUCGGUGUAGCGGUGAAAUGCGUAGAUAUUGGGAAGAACACCUGAGGCGAAGGCGGGUUGCUGGGCUGAUACUGACGCUGAGGCGCGAAAGCCAGGGGAGCAAACGGG
rnacentral:rRNA from 1 species